rnacentral:rRNA from 1 species
GGGCGUGCGGUGCUAAUACAUGCAAGUCGAGCGGACAGAAGGGAGCUUGCUCCCGGAUGUUAGCGGCGGACGGGUGAGUAACACGUGGGUAACCUGCCUGUAAGACUGGGAUAACUCCGGGAAACCGGAGCUAAUACCGGAUAGUUCCUUGAACCGCAUGGUUCAAGGAUGAAAGACGGUUUCGGCUGUCACUUACAGAUGGACCCGCGGCGCAUUAGCUAGUUGGUGGGGUAAUGGCUCACCAAGGCGACGAUGCGUAGCCGACCUGAGAGGGUGAUCGGCCACACUGGGACUGAGACACGGCCCAGACUCCUACGGGAGGCAGCAGUAGGGAAUCUUCCGCAAUGGACGAAAGUCUGACGGAGCAACGCCGCGUGAGUGAUGAAGGUUUUCGGAUCGUAAAGCUCUGUUGUUAGGGAAGAACAAGUGCGAGAGUAACUGCUCGCACCUUGACGGUACCUAACCAGAAAGCCACGGCUAACUACGUGCCAGCAGCCGCGGUAAUACGUAGGUGGCAAGCGUUGUCCGGAAUUAUUGGGCGUAAAGGGCUCGCAGGCGGUUUCUUAAGUCUGAUGUGAAAGCCCCCGGCUCAACCGGGGAGGGUCAUUGGAAACUGGGAAACUUGAGUGCAGAAGAGGAGAGUGGAAUUCCACGUGUAGCGGUGAAAUGCGUAGAGAUGUGGAGGAACACCAGUGGCGAAGGCGACUCUCUGGUCUGUAACUGACGCUGAGGAGCGAAAGCGUGGGGAGCGAACAGGAUUAGAUACCGG